rnacentral:lncRNA from 1 species
UUCACUCCCGUUGUUUGGCAAGUGGGAGGAAGUGUCACAGCUCUUUUAUUUCUGCCACCCACAGCUUGGUGAGUAGGAGCAUUACAGCUCUUUUGCUCCCACAGUUCAGCAAAUUCUGAGUUCCUGUCCCAUGACCAAGAGGAAUGAGGAACAUGGACACCGGAGAAUGAGUAAGGCAGAGUAGAAUUUUAUUCAUCAGCGAGAGGGGACCUGAAAGCAGGUCGCCAUCUGUGAGGAUUAAAGUUAGGACCAAAUGCUGCUCAGAAAUUGUUUUAAUCUCAAAAGUAGUUGGCAAGUUUUCAGAGUUCAUUUUCAAGGCCUGGUGUAUGCAUUGGUUACAUGAAAACCGUGUGACAACCUUGGAAGUCUGAAAGAGCAGGAGAGAGGCUAAGCACACACAUAUUGUGAUUUUAAGAGUCUCAAGAAAUUCUCCACUGAAAAAAUCAUGCAUAUCCAGGCAUAGAAGAGGGGUAACAACUACAGGAAAAACAAGAAAU